rnacentral:rRNA from 1 species
GUGGGGAAUCUUGCGCAAUGGGCGAAAGCCUGACGCAGCAACGCCGCGUGCGGGAAGAAGGCUUUCGGGCUGUAAACCGCUUUCAGCAGGAACGAAAAUGACGGUACCUGCAGAAGAAGGAGCGGCCAACUAUGUGCCAGCAGCCGCGGUGAUACAUAGGCUUCAAGCGUUGUCCGGAUUUAUUGGGCGUAAAGAGUUCGUAGGCGGUCGAGUAAGUCGGGUGUGAAAAUUCUGGGCUCAACCCAGAGACGCCACCCGAUACUGCUUAACUUGAGUUCGAUAGGGGAGUGGGGAAUUCCUAGUGUAGCGGUGAAAUGCGCAGAUAUUAGGAGGAACACCGGUGGCGAAGGCGCCACUCUGGAUCGACACUGACGCUGAGGAACGAAAGCAUGGGUAGCAAACAGGAUUAGAUACCCUAGUAGUCC